rnacentral:lncRNA from 1 species
ACACAUCCUCCUGGGUCUCGUCUGUUCUGCUCCUGUAGACGCAUCCUCCUGGGUCUCGUCUGUUGGUUCUGCUCCUGUAGACGCGUCCUCCUGGGUCUCUGUUGGUUCUGCUCCUGUAGACGCAUCCUCCUGGGUCUCUGUUGGUUCUGCUCCUGUAGACGCGUCCUCCUGGGUCUCGUCUGUUGGUUCUGCUCCUGUAGACGCGUCCUCCUGGGUCUGCUCCCUUCGCUUUGCGUCGGUUCACAGAAGUCUCUCCAGGUUCUGAGCUCGCCCCGUUCAGUCCUCCACCACAACCCUAUAGCCCGUCAGCCGUUCCUCCAAGGGAUGGACGUCCCCUCUGUUUCUAAUUCCUUGUCACUAGAGUCGCUAAAAAUAUCUGGGCACGGCCGGCCCCCCUCUUCUCUGAUCCCUGGGAGUCGGCCCCGCCGUGCUUUUGUGGCCCUUUGGGGCAAGGUUCCAUGUGGCUCCGCAGCACGUUCACGCGUCCACCAGCUCACGUCCCAGUUUUCACCCCUCUGAUCAUUUUCCUUUCCCUGUUGGCCAAUCUGGUCGGUAGAGGUGUGACCUCGGAGCCCUGCUUCUUUUAAUGGAGUCUGAGCACAGGGACUUUGGGGGGUUUUUUUGAGCUGUUGGAGAGAUUGUUGAUUAAUUUUGAGUCUCGUCGUUAAUCCAUUAAAAAACCCUUCCCCUUCUUGUUCUUGUGAACUUGAUUUAAAGAAGAUUUAUUUUAAAGUAUUUUUCCAUGGUUACGUGAUUCACGUUUUUUCCCCUCCCCCUCUUUCCUCCCCCUGCCCCGGGCCACAAGCAGUUCCCCUGGGUUGCACACGUAUCAUUCCAUGUUAUUCACAUUUGCAGGAGUGUGACCCUUUAAAAACCCAAACCCCACAUCCUACACGUAUAUACAUAAGGGAUCAAUCCCGUGUUUUCACCUGCAUUUCCGCUCCCACAGUUCUUCCUCUGGAUGUGGAGAGUGCUCUUUCUCCCAAGUCUCUCAGAGUUGUCCUGGGUCACUGCACUGCGUUUGGUAGCAGAGUCCAUGACCUUGGCUUGUUCCACUACAUUUCACUUUCUGUGGACAGUGUCCUCCUAGUUGUGCUCCUUUGCUCUGCAUCAAUUCCUGAAGGUCUUUCAAGAACGUGACUUUUUAACCCAACCGUAAGAUUUGGCCAUACAUCAUGGCUGUUAACAGUUUGCCUCCUUUGUUUUGGUCCGUGUUCUGGUCCAUUAAGAUCUUUUUGGGCUCCGACCCUCGUCCAGACCCUUCUGCCCUUCCGAGCUCUGUUCAUACGCAGA